AAUAAACAAAGAUACUGUGUGUUCAUCCACAAAUAAAUAGAUUUUUUUUUUAAAAAGUUCACAAUAUGGUUUCAAACUUUUAAGAAACUACCACUUAUCAAGUUUUGGUAUGACAUCAAGAAUGUCCAUUUCCUGCCAGGUGUGGUGGUACAUGCCUGUAAUCCCAGUGACUCAGGAGGCUGAGGCAGGAGGACUACAAGUUCAAAGCCAGCCUUAGCAACUUACUGAGGUCCUAAGCAACUUAGCAAGACCCUGUCUCAAAAUAAAAAAUAAAGGGGCUGGGGUUGGGGCUCAGUGGUAGCACACUUACCUGGUUUGUGUGAGGCACUAGGUUCAAUUCUUAGCACCACAUAUAAAUAAAUAAAAUAAAGGUCUAUCAACAAUUUUAAAGAACUAAAAAAUAAAAAGGGGAUGUGGCUCAGUAGUUAAGUGCCCCUGCAUUCGAUCUCUGGUACUCCUUCCCCCCUCAAAAAAUGUUCUUUUGCCUAACACACAUCUGUGUGAGGCUGGAUUUUCUUCACAUACUUCAAGUAAGGCAACGAGACACUGUAUUGCAUCAGACUGAAUGCAGAACCUUACAAAAUGCACCUGAAGGGUCAUAAAAACUGAAAGGAAGGUCACUCCCAUCCCUAAAUCUUUUAGAAAGUUUUUUAAAUAAAAUAUAUUAAUAUGUGAUUGGUUUAUUUUUCUUUUUAAAUGAAUUGAUAAGUAAAAAUUUCAAAGUUCUGUUUUAAUUUCUAGAACAAUAAAUAUCAAUACAUAAAAUUUCUUUAAACAAAAGCUUUCCAGGAUUCUCAAUAAUUAUUAAGAAUGCAAAGGAUGCUGAGAAUAAAAAAUUUGAAAACUAUUAUUCCAUAGUGUGGCUUAGUUAGAACUUGCCCCUUUUGUUGCAAAUUGAAUUAUUUGACCCUAAAUUUAGGUCCUUAGUUUGGACUGAAAUUAUAUUUUGUCAUAUUGAUGUUGGCCUGAGAGGCCAGUGAAAAACCAGCCUCUACCUCACAGCAAAGCCUGUCAAGGAAGGGGCAUGACCUUUGUCCUUGGAAAAGACUACAGAGCACUCCUAGGCACAUUCCCACCCUGCUGAGUUGUUUAUCUACAAAUAACAGGAGAGAUCUGCUGAGCCAGGUGUCCCUGACUCAGUCAGGCUAGGUGAGGGCCCAUAGCAACCCCCUAGCAGCCACCAAUCAGCAUGAGACAGGGAAAUACCUGGGAUGCCAGAUGACCCUCCCAGUAGUUUAUGAUGUUGGGAAACCCUGUAGUUCAGCAUGAACACCCCUCUUGGCUUAAACCAAUCAGUUCAAAUGAAUCCCCCUCUUGAGUAACCAAUCACCCCUACCCAACUUGUUUCCGCCAGUGAAUGUGCUAAUCAUAGUUUAGAGUUGUUUUAUUAUUUUCCCUGUGGUGUAUGAUGAUUUUCUAAGAGAUGCUAUGAAGUAUGUGAAGUCCCUGCCUUCUCCAAAGAGUGUAUAAAACUGCUGCAAACCCUGGGCUCGGGGCCUCUCAGCGUCACCAGUUGCUGUGUGCACACGGAGGACCGUGCUAGCUUGCAAUAAACACCUCUUUGCUGCUUACAUCGUCUUGGUCUCUGGUGGUCUUUUGGGGGUCCCGAAUUCUAGCCUAACACC
rnacentral:lncRNA from 1 species